rnacentral:piRNA from 1 species
AGACUGGAAAGGCGGACGGCAGUAGCAGG